CUGUUAACUGAUCUACUAACCAUGAAGAAAGAGAACCAUGUAGCACACCAGAACAAUGGAAUGCCACUUCAUUUUCCAAACCCAAGCAGAAGUACAAGACAUGAAGAAGACAUGGCGGCACACAUGGCUGGUUACCCUGUAAAUGCUCUUGGUGUGCAGCAGCCUCUGUGAGCAUCCUCUUAUAUUCUUGUAGCAGUCAGCCUUGGCAGUUGCAGCACAGCAGGUCUAUUCUCAGAUAAACUCCAGCAGUAUCAGCAGCAACAACAGCAGCAAAUGCACUUAAGAUUAAUUUAGGAUUUUACCAGAAAAAGUUUUAACCUUUAAUGUUAAAAAUGUUGUAUAAUAUUAAUACAUUUAUAUUUUUAUUGUGUAAAUGUAACUCUUUUAUUUGUAAUUCAGUUUUUGUCAUGAAAAUAGCCACAUAUGCUGAUAAGGCAUUAAAUAAAACUAUACUGUACUGUACGAAACAGCCACGUUGAUUUUGAAUAAUGAUGAUGUCCUAGACAGAGUUUACUAUAACAGCUGUUCUUUACUAUUCUGUAUAACAGAGAAGAAAAAGCCUUCAGAUUGGGACAACUUAAGACACUUCAGUUUGUAAUUCCAGAGGUAUUAAUAGGUGCAAAG
ensembl:lncRNA